UGGGGAAUAUUGGACAAUGGGCGAAAGCCUGAUCCAGCCAUGCCGCGUGUGUGAAGAAGGUCUUCGGAUUGUAAAGCACUUUAAGUUGGGAGGAAGGGCAGUAAGUUAAUACCUUGCUGCUUUGACGUUACCGACAGAAUAAGCACCGGCUAACUCUGUGCCAGCAGCCGCGGUAAUACAGCGGGUGCAAGCGUUAAUCGGAAUUACUGGGCGUAAAGCGCGCGUAGGUGGUUUGUUAAGUUGGAUGUGAAAGCCCCGGGCUCAACCUGGGAACUGCAUCCAAAACUGGCAAGCUAGAGUACGGUAGAGGGUGGUGGAAUUUCCUGUGUAGCGGUGAAAUGCGUAGAUAUAGGAAGGAACACCAGUGGCGAAGGCGACCACCUGGACUGAUACUGACACUGAGGUGCGAAAGCGUGGGGAGCAAACA
rnacentral:rRNA from 1 species